GAUGAACGCUAGCGGCAGGCUUAAUACAUGCAAGUUGAGGGGCAGCAUGAUAUACGCGAGUAUAUUGAUGGCGACCGGCGGACGGGUGAGUAAUAGGUAGGAGACCUACCUCAUACAGGGGGAUAGCAUAGAGAAAUCUGUGGUAAUACCCCAUGAGGUUAUAUGAAUAGAGGCAUAUAAUCAAAGCAUAAGCGAUUAUGCGGUAUGAGAGGGGCCUACUGACCAUUAGCUAGUUGGUGAGGUAAGGGCUCACCAAGGCGAAGAUGGUUAGGGGUUUUGAGAGAGAGACCCCCCACAUUGGAACUGAGAGACGGUCCAGACUCCUACGGGAGGCAGCAGUGGGGAAUUUUGGACAAUGGGCGCAAGCCUGAUCCAGCCAUGCCGCGUGCGGGACGAAGGCCUUCGGUUGUAAACCGCUUUCAGCCGGAAGAAAUACGCUGACUUUAAUAGAGGCAGUGGAUGACGGUACCGGAAGAAGAAGCACCGG
rnacentral:rRNA from 1 species